rnacentral:rRNA from 1 species
CGGCCGCGUCGACUGCGAACGGGUGAGUAACGCGUAGGUAACCUGCCUUGUAGCGGGGGAUAACUAUUGGAAACGAUAGCUAAUACCGCAUAACAAUGGAUGACACAUGUCAUUUAUUUGAAAGGGGCAAUUGCUCCACUACAAGAUGGACCUGCGUUGUAUUAGCUAGUAGGUGAGGUAAUGGCUCACCUAGGCGACGAUACAUAGCCGACCUGAGAGGGUGAUCGGCCACACUGGGACUGAGACACGGCCCAGACUCCUACGGGAGGCAGCAGUAGGGAAUCUUCGGCAAUGGGGGCAACCCUGACCGAGCAACGCCGCGUGAGUGAAGAAGGUUUUCGGAUCGUAAAGCUCUGUUGUAAGUCAAGAACGAGUGUGAGAGUGGAAAAUUCACACUGUGACGGUAGCUUACCAGAAAGGGACGGCUAACUACGUGCCAGCAGCCGC